CCUGUUUUAUUUCUACUAGAUUAUAAGUUCCUUGAUGGGGAGACUAUAGGCUUUUCAACUUUUCAGCCUGACAGCUUAGCCCAUAAGAGUCACCUAAUAAAUGUUCAUUGCAGUAACUAAUGAACAGGAAGGAACUGGGAAGACAGCUCGAGGAUAAGAACUAUAGUUAAUCAAUAAGCUUAACUGGUCACAGUCAUUCUUUUCAGAACCUACACAGCAAAUGAAUUGCUUCAUUUGGCUCUUCCUACGUUUUAGGGAAUUCGUUUAGGAAUUCGCAUUUAAACCAGGCAAAUUUUAAGCUAAAUCGGAACAAAGUACACUUUCAUAUCAUGUUGCUUCCUACUAUAAGAACAAAACACUAACUUCAAUUUUUUCUGAUCAACAUGAAUAACACAGAGUCGAAGCAUUUUCAAAACAAUCCAUAACAUGGCAACCAUCUCAGCAGGUGCUUGUGGGAUCCAGCUCAGGGAGCACUUGACUUGUAUUGAGCCCUUGGCUGAGUGACUCUGUUCUGAUCUUCUUGUACCGGUUUUGUUUCAGAAAGUAGAAAAGCCUAGUCAUAAUUUGGCUCAAAAUUAUAUAGUGGUAUGAUAUAGACUGGUUCCACACUUGUUUUGCUGCCACCUUUGUAGCAGCACAAUUUAAAAAAAAAAAAUUUCAUCAAAGAAAAGCCUUUCAUUUUAGGCACAAACACUUAGAUUGUCUCAUAUGGGCACACUCUCUUUUCUCGGGGCAUUUAGAGUCAUCUUGUGAAGAUUCUCCUCACAAUAGGCCUGGCAAAGAAUUCUGAAAUUAGCCUGCUGUCAUGACAACCUCAGGAGCUUCCCAGGCGGCAGCUCCAGAGAACAGGACACAAGGCUGGGGAAAGAAAUGACUUCAUCUGCAAAUCCAGAAGACUAUUUCCCAAGAGGAAACUAUAACUAUUGGCCUCGAAGCUCCUCCAUCUGAACGUACCGCAGUUGCUUUCUCCAUCACUGAGGUAGCGCUGGAUCAAGUUUUCCAUCCACAACUGGUAGCAGAUGCAGCUCUUCGUAAUGGGAUCACAGUGGCCAUGGCCAGAACAUUCCAAAUGGCAAACUGCAGGCAGAAUGGGAGAAAUAGAUCUUGAGUCCCUCAAGGGCAAAAAGUCUUCUAUUUUACUGCUGUUGCACCCUGCUACAGUGACCCUUAAAUACAUACUCAUUUGAUAUGUUUCUAGCAUGGCCUGUGAUGCUGAAAGUAUGCCCUUAACUCGACUAUUUCAACCGAGAAUAAUCAACUAACAAAUAUGUCUAUUAAGCACCUAUCAUGUGCAAGGCACUCUGCUAGGUGCUGCGUAUACAAUGCCAAAAACGGAAAAAUCUCUGCCUUCAUGGAGCUUAUAUUUUACCAAACAACAGAGAAAGGGUGUUAAACAUUACCACUGAAAAAGCUCACACAUGGGUUUACGUCAGAAAAAAAUGGAAUCGUAUGAUUAAAAGUCAUAUUAUUGUGUCCUGUUGCUCUCCCAGUACCAAGUGCUAUCUUCUCAUACUAUGUACUACAUUCAAAGAACAAGGUGAUCCUAGGAAUGUUACUUGUCUUGGAGGUUGGUUAAGACAUCUACUGAUGAGACAAAUACCAAUAUAGCUAGAAAUGCAUGCACCAGUAGAAGGCAAGUUCCUUGAAGGCAAGGAUAGUUUCAUUUUUGUUAUUGUUUCCUUUACACAGUGCCUACAAACAUAAUUAGUACUUAUAUAAAUAUUUGCUGAAUUGAAUUAAAUUAAAUCUCAGUCCAUUUUGUGCCUAGAAAGCAGUCACAUGAGAGCACCUAUGAUUUGUUUUAAAUGCAAGUAAGAAUCACGCAGAGACUUCUAGAUUCUAUAAGACCUUUAACUGUGAACUACUACAAUGCUCUUGGUUCUAAUGGCAUAAAGUACAGUUGACAUAAAAACACAUUAUCUUAUUUCCUGACAGCUGUGUUUAUUUGUAUCUGCCACUAUCCCUCCUAAUCAAAAAUAAAACUAAUGAUGAUAA